rnacentral:rRNA from 1 species
UACAGAGGGUGCGAGCGUUUAAUCGGAAUUACUGGGCGUAAAGCGCGCGUAGGCGGCUUCGCAAGUCGGGUGUGAAAUCCCCAGGCUUAACCUGGGAACUGCAUUCGAGACUGCAUUGCUAGAGUAUGGGAGAGGGAAGUGGAAUUUCCGGUGUAGCGGUGAAAUGCGUAGAUAUCGGAAGGAACAUCUGUGGCGAAAGCGACUUCCUGGACCAAUACUGACGCUCAUGUGCGAAAGCGUGGGGAGCAAACAGG